AUUGAACGCUGGCGGCAGGCCUAACACAUGCAAGUCGAGCGGAGCGGCGGCCGGGCGAGUCAUGCCUAGGAAUCUGACUGGUAGUGGGGGAUAACUUCCGGAAACGGGCGCUAAUACCGCCUACUAUCAGAUCAGCCUGGGCCGGAUUAGCUAGUUGGUGGGGUAAAGGCCUACCAAGGCGACGAUCCGUAACUGGUCUGAGAGGAGGAUCAGGCACACUGGAACUGAGACACGGGCCAGAUGCCUACGGGAGGCAGCAGUGGGGAAUAUUGGACAAUGGGCGAAAGCCUGAUCCAGCCAUGCCGCGUGGGUGAAGAAGGUCUUCGGAUUGUAAAGCACUUUAAGUGGGGAGGCGUUACCCACAGAAUAAGCACCGGCUAACUCCGUGCCAGCAGCCGCGGUAAUAC
rnacentral:rRNA from 1 species